rnacentral:lncRNA from 1 species
CAGAUUUCUUUUUUACAAACCUUUUUUUUUAUCAAUAUAUAUUUGUUCUCAAUGUUUUGGCGUCAAACUGGAGGCAGUAGUGAAAAAAAGUUGAGUUUGCAAAGUUAAUUGAAAAUAAUGCCGUUCUUAAUGAGAUGCUUGUCUCAUGAAUUAGGCUAUUUUCUAUUGAACCAUUAAUUCUACUGUAUCUACUAGAAACUAGUGGACAAUAUGGACAAAGAUUUAAUAAAUUAAUACUGUACAGUAUAUGAAUAAAACAUUUCACAAGUUAUUCAAGUAAAUAUUACCAAAGUUAUGAUAGAUUGCUACAGAUUUUCUGUUAAUUCCCAAAUUUCUGGUAACCUUGGCAAAUUACAGGUACAUUUGCAACCGCAGCAUGUCACAGAUGGGAAGUUUAAAACACUAUAUAGGUGGCUAAGGGUUAUAAAAAGCAGACAUGAACAUUAUAAUCUAAUUGUAUGGUUGUGAUUGACUACUUAGCAUGCCACCUUUAAGGUAACCUGUCCUUCCCUAUUCCUCUGAGUACUAAGGAUGUAGUCUUAUCCUGUCCUAUAGGAACUAAAGAUGUAGUCUUAUCCUGUCCUAUAGGAACUAAAGAUGUAGUCUUAUCCUGUCCUAUAGGAACUAAAGAUGUAGUCUUAUCCUUUCUUAUAGGAACUAAAGAUGUAGUAUUAUCCUGUCCUAUAGGUACUAAAGAUGAAGUCUCUAUCCUGUCCUAUAGGAACUAAAGAUGUAGUCUUAUCCUGUCCUAUAGGUACUAAAGAUGUAGUCUUAUCCUGUCCUAUAGGAACUAAAGAUGUGGUCUUAUCCUGUCCUAUAGGUACUAAAGAUGUAGUCUUAUCCUGUCCUAUAGGAACUAAAGUCGUAGUCUUAUCCUGUCCUAUAGGAACUGAGGAUGUAGUCUUAUCCUGUCCUAUAGGAACUAAAGAUGUAGUCUUAUCCUGUCCUAUAGUUACUAAAGAUGUAGUCUUAUCCUGUCCUAUAGGAACUAAAGAUGUAGUCUUAUCCUGUCCUAUAGGUACUGAGGAUGUAGUCUUAUCCUGUCCUGUAGGUACUAAAGAUGCAGUCUUAUUCUGUCCUAUAGGUACUGAGGAUGUGGUCCUAAACCUCUGUCCUGCAACAGGCCCAGUAAUACUUAACAGAGGUCUUGGUACAUGACCUAGGUGAUCACAGGUCCAAGACCAUUACUCAACACUGUUGUACCCCGUGACAGAAGGACAGAGCAGUGUUGACUCAGUUUAACCUGUGUAAGAGAAACAUCUGUGAAACAGUGUCCUGUUCAGAGCUGUAGAUGGCAUGUUUAGCCCUGUUAAUGAGCAGGUCAUUCAUUUCACAUUUAUAAAAGAGGAGAGGAGAUGGAUGGAGCAAUUUACAGGUCUAUUAGUUGUGGAGGGCUGGAGGGAUGGAGGGAUGGAGGGAUGGGGGAAUGGAGGGAUGGAGGGAUGGAGGGCUGGAGGGAUGGAGGGCUGGAAGCCUGGAGGGAUGAAGGGAUGGGGGAAUGGAGGGAUGGAGGGAUGGAGGGC